GCAGUGGUGGUUCGGUGGUAGAAUCCUCACCUUCCGUGCAGGAGACCUGGGUUCAAUUCCCAGCCAAUGCA
rnacentral:tRNA from 1 species